UGGCAAUGAGGACAAAAAUAUUAACUGAAUUACUGUGAUUAGUUUAUACGCUAUUCUGAGCCAACA